rnacentral:rRNA from 1 species
ACCAGCGGAGGGAUCAUUGUUGGAACGCGCUCCGGCGCACCUCCAGACAACCCUUUGUGAACUUAUACCUAUACUGUUGCCUCGGCGUCAGGCUGGCUCCCCUCGGGGGGUCCCUCACCAUCUCGGUGAGGAGCAGGCCCGCCGGCGGCCAAGUUAACUCUUGUUUUUACACUGAAACUCUGAGAAUAAAACAAAAAUGAAUCAAAACUUUCAACAACGGAUCUCUUGGUUCUGGCAUCGAUGAAGAACGCAGCGAAAUGCGAUAAGUAAUGUGAAUUGCAGAAUUCAGUGAAUCAUCGAAUCUUUGAACGCACAUUGCGCCCUCUGGUAUUCCGGAGGGCAUGCCUGUUCGAGCGUCAUUUCAACCCUCAAGCCUGGCUUGGUGAUGGGACACUGCCUUUGAGAAAAGGCAGGUCCUGAAAUUCAGUGGCGAGCUCGCCAGGACCCCGAGCGCAGUAGUUAAACCCUCGCUUUGGAAGGUCUUGGUGCGGCCCUGCCGUUAAACCCCCAACUUCUGAAAAUUUGACCUCGGAUCAGGUAGGAAUACCCGCUGAACUUAAGCAUAUCAAUAAGCGGAGGAAA